GGAGAUACGCCGGAGCAGGAGAGCCGGAGCAGACUGUAAAUCUGCCGCUAUUUAGCUGAAUAGGUUCGAUUCCUUUUAUCUCCA
rnacentral:tRNA from 1 species